GACGAACGCUGGCGGCGUGCUUAACACAUGCAAGUCGAACGGUGAGCGCCGGAUCUUGCUGCCUGCGGAACUGGCGCAAAGGGGUGAGAAACGUGUGAGCAAUGUGCCCCGAUCUGUGGUAAAAGCGGUAGAAACGGGGUCAUAUCCCGUAUACGACCCGGGAGGACAGUCUGGCCUGGUAGGAAUAAGCGGUUGGGGAUGGGCUCGCGGCUUAUCAGCUUGUUGGUGAGGUAGCGGCUCACCAAGGCGACGACGGGUAGCCGGCCUGAGAGGGUGACCGGCCACACUGGGACUGAGACACGGCCCAGACUCCUACGGGAGGCAGCAGUGGGGAAUAUUGCACAAUGGGCGCAAGCCUGAUGCAGCAACGCCGCGUGAGGGACGACGGCCUUCGGGUUGUAAACCUCUUUUAGCAGGGAAGAAGCGAAAGUGACGGUACCUGCAGAAAAAGCACCGGCUAACUACGUG
rnacentral:rRNA from 1 species